AACGAACGCUGGCGGCAUGCCUAACACAUGCAAGUCGAACGAGACCUUCGGGUCUAGUGGCGCACGGGUGCGUAACGCGGGGGAAUCUGCCCUUCGGUUGGGCAUAACUGAGAGAAAUUUCAGCUAAUACCUUAUAAUGUCUUCGGACCAACGAUUUAUCGCCGAGGGAUGAGCCGGCGUCGGAUGAGGUAGUUGGUGGGGUAAUGGCCUACGAAGGCGACGAUCCGUAGCUGGUCUGAGAGGAGGAUCAGCCACACUGGAACUGAGACAGGGCCCAGACGCCGACGGGAGGCAGCAGUGGGGAAUAUUGGACAAGGGGGGAAAGGGGGAUCCAGCCAUGGGGCGUGAGGGAAGAAGGUCUUAGGAGGGGAAAGAACUUGAAGUUGGGAGGAAGGGAAGUAAGUUAAUACCGGGCGGUUUUGACGGUACCAACAGAAUAAGCACCGGCUAACUUCGUG
rnacentral:rRNA from 1 species